rnacentral:rRNA from 1 species
GACGAACGCUGGCGGCGUGCUUAACACAUGCAAGUCGAACGAAGUGGCGCCCGGGUGAGUAAUAUAUAGUUAAUCUGCCCUACACAGAGGACCAACAGUUGGAAACGACUGCCAAUACCUCAUAGUGUAGGAUGAGACUAUAUCGUAUCAGCUAGUUGGUAAGGUAAUGGCUUACCAAGGCUAUGACGCGUAACUGGUCUGAGAGGAUGAUCAGUCACAUUGGAACUGAGACACGGUCCAGACACGUACGGGAGGCAGCAGGAAGGAAAAUUGAAGAGUGCGGGAAACGCAAAAGAGGCAGCGCCGGGUGGAAGAUGAAAAUUUGCGGAGCGUAAACUAAUUUGAUCAGGAGCGCGGUACCUGCUGAAUAAGAACCGGCUAACUCCGUGCCAGCAGCCGCGGUAAUAC